UGAGGAAUAUUGGACAAUGGGCGCAAGCCUGAUCCAGCAAUGCCGCGUGCAGGAUGAAGGCCUUCGGGUUGUAAACUGCUUUUGUACGGAGCGAAAAGGUCUGCCCUAAUACGGUGGGCUCAUGACGGUACCGUAAGAAUAAGCACCGGCUAACUACGUGCCAGCAGCCGCGGUAAUACGUAGGGUGCGAGCGUUAAUCGGAAUUACUGGGCGUAAAGCGUGCGCAGGCGGUUAUAUAAGACAGAUGUGAAAUCCCCGGGCUCAACCUGGGACCUGCAUUUGUGACUGUAUAGCUAGAGUACGGUAGAGGGGGAUGGAAUUCCGCGUGUAGCAGUGAAAUGCGUAGAUAUGCGGAGGAACACCGAUGGCGAAGGCAAUCCCCUGGACCUGGACUGACGCUCAUGCACGAAAGCGUGGGGAGCAAACA
rnacentral:rRNA from 1 species